rnacentral:misc_RNA from 1 species
GCCCCCCCCCGGCACACACACACACACGCACCUUCACCCAUCUUCUCUCACCCCCCCCGCGUCAUUCUGUGCUUGCACUGUUUCAACGGAUGCAAUGCGGCGUGCACUCGCGCGGGGCCAACUGAACUGGUCGUGGAAACUGCCCCUCUCCGCGAGCAAGCGAGGAUUCGGCGCGGGGCUGGUCUCCGUGUCACCACGGCUGUGUCGCUCCCGCGUCGAGGCCCGAUGGAGCAAGGCAACAGCGCAGCAUCAGCGGACGUCAUGGCGCCCCUCGGCGACGAAGAGCUCCACCGCUACAUACGAUAUUAGCGCUUCUGUAAUGCACGGCGCUUCGGCUUCGUCGUCGCCGCAGGCAGCGGCACCAGUUGCGCUACCCCCGCUGCGCUGCCCGGGCGGACCGCGCGUUAAGGCAGAGGGCAUCAAGCAACUGUACAAAGUACCGCACGCCGGGUUCCUUGCCAAGUACGACCAGCGCUUCAUGUUAAACCUCAAGCUCACCCAUCAACUCGUCAGCUAUCUUAGUCGCACAACACUCACGACGCCGGACAAGGUGCUGGUGGAGCUGGGACCUGGCGUCGGGUCACUCACACGGAGUCUGCUGACGCGGCCUUGCGUCGGCGUCCUCGGGAUCGAAGUGGACGAACGCUUCAGCCCACACCUAGAGCAGAUCCGCAGCUACACAAGCAAUAAGUUCCAAUGGGUGACCGCCGACGUGCUCAAGGUGGACGAGCUGGAGCUGCUGAAAUCGGCCUUCCCGCAUUUUGUGAAGGCCAACAUAAGGCGUCCACCCAGUCCUGGACAGGAGACUUGGGCGGCCAACUCGGCAGCCGGCCGCUCUUCAAGCAGUGGAUCGCAGAGAGUCACCUUCACUGACGACGCCGGUGAGAACGACGCGGAUGGGUACGAGGGUGCGCCGUUGCGCUCGGCUCAACGUGAACGGCUGCUGCGUCAGCGCCGCGCGCGGCAGCCCUACCAACACAGUGACGACACCCACCGCGGAGGUGCUGAAGGAGCGGCAGACCCGGAAACAGCGGCGUCGCCUAACGCUGCCUUCGAUGUGACAAAUUACUGGUGGUCUAACGGGAAUGCGAAGGUCGAGGUGAUUGCAAACCUGCCCUUCGAGAUCAUCACCGAGCUGCUGAUGCGCUACGCAGUGGACUGCUCGCAACAUCGCGGGCUCUUCGCCUUUGGCCGUGUGCCGGUACACGUCUUCACCCAGCGCGAGGUGGCCGAACGCAUUCUGGCACCGGCUGGGUCCGUGCAGUUCAGCCGCCUUUCUGUCCUCUGCCAGUGCUUCUUUCACGUUCGCCUCAAGCAGACGUUUUUAGACCAGACUUACUACCCGCGCACAGAGGUGGAGGGCGCAAUGCUGACGCUGGAGCCGCGUUCCGUGCCACUCGCACACGGUCUCGAUGCGUCCACCCUGAUUCACUUUACCAACCUGCUCAUGAAGCCGGGACUGCGCGCCGCCACCGUGCACAAGUCGCUCUCCCGAUUUGCACCUGCGGAGUUGGUGCAUUACAUGCUGCAGGAGCUGCGAAUGGACGGCGCGAUGACAGUGCUGGACUUGUCUGUGGUCGAGGUCACCCGCUUGGCUUGCCUGUGGCAGCAGUUUGUGAUCAUGUCGCAACAGCAACCACAGCCGGAGGCCGACGGUGCCGAGGCAGAAGCUGGAAGCCGCAAGGCCAGAUCCCCAAAUGGCGCCGUGUAGUGGUCCGGCUUGUGAGCCACUGGAUCUGCCCACCGCCAGCUCUCGGUAACGGAGCGAAGUAGCGGGGGAGAGAGAGAGACGGGCACGGAAGGUGUGUGUACGAAGGCGUGGAACUCGCUCGCAUCGACGAAUGGGUGCCGGCGACUCUGUCCCUCAUCUCCUCCUCGCGUGAUGGUUGAACGCUGAGCAACAGCACCGUCGUCGUCGUCAUCGUAAUUUUUUUUUGUAAUUCUGCUGUCAUUGUCUUCGCGUUCUCGUUUCGUUUCGGGAAGAGAAGGGAAGGGAAGGGGCAGGCUCGUUGAUGUCGCCCUUUCUCGAGGAACGGGUACCUAUGCGCGUGGAGGCCAACUGAACUGUUUGCGUUUUCUCAUCUGCAGCAGCGGCAAGGACAGGGUCGCGCUGUUGGUUGCUGGCGAGCAGCACGCGCGUGAGAGGCAUGUUCGCUUCCCCGAGACUCACACGUGUGCAUCCAUGUUCCGGCAGUGCACGUGUUUCCCGUUCCCUCUUGGUCAGGGGCUGUCCUCCCUCCCUUCCUCCUAAGGCCUGGCCAGGCGAGACUCGGCAGGCCGAAGAAUGGGUGUGAAAGAGAGAGGCUUCGCGCACGCGCAUACACACACGUCCUAAGCGGCCAUGCGCAGGCUAAGCAGACACAUGUAAUGUAUGUGGAACGCAGCUUCUUAUUCGUGGACAGACAUGAACGUGUUGCGCACGCGCCUCUUCCUGUUUGCCGGAGCAGAGGUGGCAAGGGACCUGUCCAGGUUGUCGUUCGAGUAUACGAUCGCACAGCAAGCGUGUGACACGUGGUCUAGAAAGUCAAUAUCAUCUCUCAUGCUCUGCUCUCCUGCAACACCUCCAACCCACGGAUGCUGAGGCACUGGAGUUCUUCUGGUGUGAGAUUGACAUAUCUCUGCUUCAUUCCUUUUAUCAGCAGUGGGAUAAGCCAAGUAUGUAUUCGCGCUUGUGUGUGUGUGUGUGUGUGUGCAGCUCUUCACAGGU